AUUUGGAUGCAACAUUUAUCCUUUUUGUUCCUGUUUUUUUUUCCACAGCCAUGGCAACAAAAGGCCUUGUGCUCUCUGUGGUGGAGCAUCCUGCCUUUGUCCGAUCCAGCUUGGUGCGUCAGUCUCUGCAAACAACAAAACAUGUGGCCACCCAGCUGGCUGUCCCUGCCCCCAUCAGAGCACUAAGGGGGGCAGAGGCCUCUUCGAUUGGAGCCAAGGAGAGUAGCACACAGGAAAAGAACAACAACAACAAAAAAAACCCUCAACUGAAACAAGGCAUUUACGCCUACUGGCCCAGAGGAUAUCCAUUUCCAAUUUACAUUAGGAUGGCUACACACCUCAUGGAGUAGUGUGGCGUGAGCACAUUGAAAGUCCUCCCUAGCUAUGGAAAUAAGGUUCUUGCUAUUUCUAGUACCCUCUUCCCAGUAGUCUCUUUGGCUCCCUUAUACCAGCAUCAUUAAGAAGAAUUGCCCAGGGCUGUGGAUAUAGCUCAGUGGUAACACACUUGACUCGUGUGCUAGCAUGGGAUGUGCAAGGCUCUGGAUUCAAUUCCCAGACACACACACACACACACACACACACACACACACACACACAGAGCCUACUUAAUAUCCUCAGGUGAAUAAUUAUUGCAAAGAUUUCUUAUUCAUAUUAACUUCAGAAAAGAUUGUUAAAAAACCAGCAGGGAUGGUUCUUGACUUACCUACACCUCGUAUUUUCAUAUAUUACACUUUAAUUUUUAAAAUAAAACACUUUGCAUGUCUGUAUAUCUGCUGAUAAGUGAGCAUUUUGAUCUAUCAUACUGUGCUAAACAAUUAUGGUGUUAAUAACUUUGUUGUUAUGGGAUUAUACAACUAUUUGAUUUUUUGUGCCUCUUACACAAAAAGUUGAAAAUGGAAAAAUAAAAAUAUUGAUAGUGAUGACAAAAGGUAUAUGUUUUAUAAGCGAUGUGACUGGCAUAAAAUAGUUACUAUUAAUUAGGUUAUGCUGGAAAUACUGACUUUUUAUUCUCAUUUGGGUGCCCAUUGGUAUUAACUAAAUUUAUUCUGUGUUGAUUUGGAAGAGAAAACAAACAACAUAUCCUCACACAAUUCAAUAGCAAAAAACAAAAACACAACCAAACAAACCUGGGUAAAAAUGGUCAAAGGAUCUGACAUUUUUCCAAAGAAGACAUAAGAAUGGGCAACAGCCAUUCA
rnacentral:lncRNA from 1 species